CAGUGGUGAUGACUUUCUUAGGACACCUUUGGAUUUAAUAAUGAAAUGACCGUGUAAUUUCUGAGCAGC
ensembl:snoRNA SNORD58 Small nucleolar RNA SNORD58